AGUGCCCUCAGAGUCGCUGGGGGCUUCUGAAGAGCCCUUGAGCCUCCUCAAAACUUUCAGGGCCCUCCUUAGAGCCCUCACCUGUCCCUCGGGCUCCGCAGGCCCACCUGGACCUGCGGUUUCCUCCCACACUUUUCCCCACCUCCCACCUUCUUGGGUGGCUCCCUCACUGUCUUCCCUUCUCUCUGCAGCCCGCGAGCCGCGCCUGGGCCUGGACUUAGGAUGGAACCCUUCCGGAGAAGGCUGUACGCAGGGCCUCAAAGACGUCCCACCCGAGCCGACCCGAGACAUCCUCGCUUUAAAGAGCCUUCCCCGGGGCUUGGCCCUUGGCCCCUCACUCGCCAAGGAACAGCGCUUGGGGGUCUGGUGUGUCGGGGACCCCCUGCAGCCCGGCCUGCUGUGGGGGCCGCUGGAAGAGGAGUCUGCCUCCAAGGAGAAGGGCGAGGGAGUAAAGCCACGGCAGGAGGAGAACCUGUCAUUAGGCCCAUGGGGAGACGUGUGUGCCUGUGAGCAGAGUUCUGGCUGGACU
rnacentral:lncRNA from 1 species